rnacentral:snRNA from 1 species
GAGACGUCGCUGCCGUGAU